UACGUAGGGUCCGAGCGUUGUCCGGAAUUACUGGGCGUAAAGAGCUCGUAGGUGGUUUGUCGCGUUGUUCGUGAAAACUCACAAGCUCAACUGUGGGCGUGCGGGCGAUACGGGCAGACUAGAGUACUGCAGGGGAGACUGGAAUUCCUGGUGUAGCGGUGGAAUGCGCAGAUAUCAGGAGGAACACCGGUGGCGAAGGCGGGUCUCUGGGCAGUAACUGACGCUGGAGGAGCGAAAGCGUGGGGAGCGAACAGG
rnacentral:rRNA from 1 species